rnacentral:tRNA from 1 species
ACCUGGCUGGCCCAGUUGGUAGAGCGUGGGACUCUUGAUCUCAGAGUUGUGGGUUUGAGCCCCACAUUGGGUG